GACGAACGCUGGCGGCGUGCUUAACCCAUGCAAGUCGAACGGAAAGGCCCUGCUUUUGUGGGGUGCUCGAGUGGCGAACGGGUGAGUAACACGUGAGUAACCUGCCCUUGACUUUGGGAUAACUUCAGGAAACUGGGGCUAAUACCGGAUAGGAGCUCCUGCUGCAUGGUGGGGGUUGGAAAGUUUCGGCGGUUGGGGAUGGACUCGCGGCUUAUCAGCUUGUUGGUGGGGUAGUGGCUUACCAAGGCUUUGACGGGUAGCCGGCCUGAGAGGGUGACCGGCCACAUUGGGACUGAGAUACGGCCCAGACUCCUACGGGAGGCAGCAGUGGGGAAUAUUGCACAAUGGGCGGAAGUCUGAUGCAGCAACGCCGCGUGCGGGAUGACGGCCUUCGGGUUGUAAACCGCUUUCGCCUGUGACGAAGCGUGAGUGACGGUAAUGGGUAAAGAAGCACCGGCUAACUACGUG
rnacentral:rRNA from 1 species